AUUGAACGCUGGCGGCAUGCUUUACACAUGCAAGUCGAACGGUAACAGGCCGCAAGGUGCUGACGAGUGGCGAACGGGUGAGUAAUGCAUCGGAACGUGCCCAGUCGUGGGGGAUAACUGCUCGAAAGAGCAGCUAAUACCGCAUACGAUCUAUGGAUGAAAGCGGGGGACCGUAAGGCCACGCGCGAUUGGAGCGGCCGAUGUCAGAUUAGGUAGUUGGUGGGGUAAAGGCUCACCAAGCCAACGAUCUGUAGCUGGUCUGAGAGGACGACCAGCCACACUGGGACUGAGACACGGCCCAGACUCCUACGGGAGGCAGCAGUGGGGAAUUUUGGACAAUGGGGGCAACCCUGAUCCAGCAAUGCCGCGUGCAGGAAGAAGGCCUUCGGGUUGUAAACUGCUUUUGUACGGAACGAAACGGUCUGGGUUAAUACCCUGGCUAAUGACGGUACCGUGAGAAUAAGCACCGGCUAACCACGUGCCAGCCGCCGCGGUAAAAC
rnacentral:rRNA from 1 species